rnacentral:lncRNA from 1 species
GUAAAGUGCAAACUGGCUUCAUGGUGAUAAAUCAUAGCUGCCUAAAGUCCAUUCCCUCAGUGGUUGGGCAGAAUGCAGCCAAAAGCAUGGUAGCAUGAUACCACUUGCUGCUCUCUUGAUUUUGACACCUUACCUAAGAUCAAUAACAUGAGAUAUGAGUCAAGAACUUUAAUAUAUCAAAACAUGGGGAUAAACAAAACUCUAGGCCUCUGGACAUAGCAGUCCCAAGAUGGAGUUCAGAAUAAAAACAAGUUAUAGUUUGAUAUUAGAUACUAACAUCAGUAUUUCAUACCUAUUUUACCUUAAGGUGAGGCAUUGGCUUGAAUACGAUUUGGAUAAAUCAGGGCUUCUGGCUAAGCCCUUAGAGAACAUAGCACCAUCAUUCCUGUGACCCUAAUUCUACUGCAGAUCAAUGGGAUUUGAUGUUUUGCGCAAACCAGGAGGUGUUCACACCCUCUUGAGAGGAAGCAUAAAUUGUGAAUCUCUGUCAAUCGGGUCCCUGCAGCCCCAUACCCCGUGCCCAAUAAGAAACUGGCUGAUCUUGUUUCAGAAAAUAGGAAGGAGGAAGAAAAGAUUGGACAGAGGAAACCUGAGAAAACAUACUCCAUAAAAAUGGAAAUAAGCACAACAGAACAUGACUCCUGAAUCCAAAGGAGCUGAAGCAGAGGGGGCCUGGAGACUGCCCAGGGCACAGAUUGGGGUCUGCCCAGUGAAGUCUUUUUGGUGGAUCAUGUCCUAGUGUUUACAAAAUGACCUGCCUACACUUAGAGAUAAGCAAGCUCAAUCUCUGGAAAAGCCCAUCAGAAUCUGAACAAACGACCCUGAAACCGUCUUGCACUUGGUGACAGAGGUGUGAUUGGGAGAUGGCUACAAAAGUUCAGUAACUUCAGGCACAGGAUGCUGACAACAUGGGUUUGCACAAAGUAAACACCACAGAGAAAUGAUUAUCCCUAGUCACUACCCUCUGAGAAGAGGCCCAUUUCAUGAUGUGGCAUGGGAAAAAGAUUCUGUGAUGGAAAAUGAUGUGGAUUGUAAAAUGAAAGAUACAUGCAGAAGAAAUAAGAGAAGUAAAAGAGCGCACCAAGAUGGAACGGGAGUGCUGGAUUUGGAAAAGAGCAGAAGGCAUGCCAGUGAAUGGAGAAGCUUGUUGACAGGAUGCUGCAUCCUUCUUAGCAGCUCUGCAUGCUAUAAGCAGGAGUCAAUAAAAAAAUGAGUCACAAAGAGAGCUUCACAGUUCUUUUCGCAGCCAGGUUAUGUCUGAGAAUCAGUGUUUCCUUGAG